AGUUUAUACCGUAGCUUGCUACCCAUAGACUGUGAGUUGCGAACGGGUGAGUAACGCGUAGGUAACCUGCCUAUUAGAGGGGGAUAACUAUUGGAAACGAUAGCUAAUACCGCAUAACAGUAUGUAACACAUGUUAGAUGCUUGAAAGAUGCAAUUGCAUCGCUAGUAGAUGGACCUGCGUUGUAUUAGCUAGUAGGUAGGGUAAUGGCCUACCUAGGCGACGAUACAUAGCCGACCUGAGAGGGUGAUCGGCCACACUGGGACUGAGACACGGCCCAGACUCCUACGGGAGGCAGCAGUAGGGAAUCUUCGGCAAUGGGGGGAACCCUGACCGAGCAACGCCGCGUGAGUGAAGAAGGUUUUCGGAUCGUAAAGCUCUGUUGUUAAGGAAGAACGAGUGUGAGAAUGGAAAGUUCAUACUGUGACGGUACUUAACCAGAAAGGGACGGCUAACUACGUGCCAGCAGCCGCGGUAAUACGUAGGUCCCGAGCGUUGUCCGGAUUUAUUGGGCGUAAAGCGAGCGCAGGCGGUUAGAAAAGUCUGAAGUGAAAGGCAGUGGCUCAACCAUUGUAGGCUUUGGAAACUGUUUAACUUGAGUGC
rnacentral:rRNA from 1 species